AGAGGCUGGGUGCACUUCGGCCAAGGCCGGCUACUGGGGUCUUGGCUGCUGGCAACGCACGGUUGCCCCCUUCCUGGUGGGGCUUCCCUGGCUGAAGGGCAUCCUCUCCCAGACAGGCCAGGAAGGUUGAGCCAGGCGCUCUCAAGACAGGCAAAAAGCAAGGAGGUGGCCUCGGACGGUGUCGCGAACGUUUACCUUUGGAAUGAGCUGCUUUUGUUUGAUACCUUUACUUUUCCUGUCAAAAUAUUAAAAAUGGUUUUGUGAACAGA